AUUCCUACGGGAGGCAGCAGUGGGGGAUAUUGCACAAUGGGGGAAACCCUGAUGCAGCGACGCCGCGUGGGCGAAGAAGUAUUUCGGUAUGUAAAGCCCUAUCAGCAGGGAAGAAGAAAUGACGGUACCUGUCGAAUAAGCCACGGCUAACUACGUGCCAGCAGCCGCGGUAAUACGUAGGUGGCAAGCGUUGUCCGGAUUUACUGGGUGUAAAGGGCGUGUAGCCGGGUUGACAAGUCAGAUGUGAAAUCCUGCGGCUUAACCGCAGAACUGCAUUUGAAACUGUUGAUCUUGAGUACUGGAGA
rnacentral:rRNA from 1 species